GCCGCCCGCCUCAGCCCAACAUGGCGAUGCACAACAAGGCGGCGCCGCCGCAGAUCCCGGACACCCGGCGGGAGCUGGCGGAGCUCGUGAAGCGGAAGCAGGAGCUGGCGGAAACAUUGGCAAAUUUGGAGCGACAGAUCUAUGCUUUUGAGGGAAGCUACCUGGAAGACACUCAGAUGUAUGGCAAUAUUAUUCGUGGCUGGGAUCGGUAUCUGACCAACCAAAAAAACUCCAAUAGCAAAAAUGAUCGAAGGAACCGGAAGUUUAAGGAAGCUGAGCGGCUCUUCAGUAAAUCCUCGGUUACCUCAGCAGCUGCAGUAAGUGCAUUGGCAGGAGUUCAGGACCAGCUCAUUGAAAAGACAGAUUAUAAUAUGAAGACCAUAGAAAGAAGAAAACUGGGCCAGAUACGGUGGCUCAUGCCUAUAAUCCCAGAACUUUGGGAGCCCAAGGGGAGCCAGGAAGUGGGACGGAAAGUGACACUUCUCCAGACUUCCACAAUCAGGAAAAUGAGCCCAGCCAGGAGGACCCUGAGGAUCUGGAUGGAUCUGUGCAGGGAGUGAAACCUCAGAAGGCUGCUUCUUCUACUUCCUCAGGGAGUCACCACAGCAGCCAUAAAAAGCGAAAGAAUAAAAACCGGCACAGCCCGUCUGGCAUGUUUGAUUAUGACUUUGAGAUUGAUCUGAAGUUAAACAAAAAACCACGAGCUGACUAUUAGAAGACACAUUAGUGCAGAAGCUUCCAGGCUGUAGAGCCCUGCUUCCCUUCUCUGACCUCACAAAGAUAAACAUCCUUCACCUGAGUUCGUGGCCAUCCACCUCUGCUCUCCCAGACCCAGUGCCUGUGACUUUGAGUAGUUUGUUCUAAAUGUGGUGACAAACAAGUCAUUUCUGUAAGACAUUGGGUCUUACUUUAUGUCAUUUUUAGUAACAGAACUGCAGGAAGAUGAAGACAAUGUUGUAAUCCCAGCAAGUUGCUAACUGUGCGUUUCUCCCUUCUUAGAAUGAAUGUCUCCCCCAAAACUGGCUGGCACCAGCUUCAUCUGUGAUACCCUUCAAGAAAUGUUCUCUGGUUUUGUUUUAUGCUGAAAGUAGAACACAAGUCACAUUUCAGAUGGAGGCUGUAAAUAUCUGGCAUUUUCUUAUAUUGUUUUAUGUUUUCUUGUUUUUCUCUUGUUGUUUUUAUCUUAUUUUCUUUGGGGUUUUUUUGUAAUGCCUUUGUACAGCUCAUACUUUCCUGCUGACAUAUCUGAUCAUCUCUUUCAUGCAGUUGCCAAUAUUCAUAACUGAAAAUAAUCUGGUUUAUCAUAAGUAAAAUGGGAAACUUGCCUCUGUUUUUUGCAAGGGGAGGUAAAGAGUGUUUAGUAAUUACCUAUCUUAAAUCUUUCUGAGUUGGUAGUAGAUUCAUGUUCAAGGAACAGGAAAAAUGGAAAAACAUAAGUUUAAAUCAGUUCUUUUUAAAUAACUUUUUAUUCUUUUGUAUAAAUAAAAUUUCACAGGCUUCAAAUUCUCAUGCUUUACUUUUAAACCCGAGAUUGUUUUUUCACUUAUUUAUUCAUAUCAUGCCUUAUGGAAAUUUCUUUUUCUGUAUUUUCUCUCUUUGCUGGUAUUCACCUGAUUAAAUAUUGCUCUAAAAAUCACCAUGGCAUAUGGAAAGUCUCAAAAUUAUACCAAAAGUGAUAACUUAUGUCGUUCUUAAGUGGAGUGAAAGGAUAGCAUCAGUGAGAGCCAGUGUUGCCCACCAGGUCUCCCUUUCUUGGAGGGCUUGUUGGGGCUGAGGAAUCUGCUAGUAAUCGUUACCUGCCUCUAGUGCUGUGGUGAACUUGCGACAGGGUCUGGCUGCACAUUGGAAUCACCUGAGAAGCUUUAAAAUACUCAUGCCUGGAUCCCAUCCCUAGAGACUGGGGUACAGCCUAGUUAUUGGGAAUUUCUUUAAAAGAGUUCCUGGGAUUCUGAUAAGAAGCCAGGUUGAGAACCACUACAUUAGAAGACUGAAUGGUUUAAUUUACAUCCUAUGUUAUGAUUGGUCUAAGGGAUAAGAUUUGGGGUCUAACCUUUCCUUUCACUCUAGUUAGUCAUAGUCCUUGACUUAUGCCUAUAUCUUUGUAAGAAAUAGUAUGUUUCAUUUGUGAUAGUAUUGGUAGGGCUGAAUAUGGAUGGCAUCUACUGUAAAACAAGUCUACCUUGUCAGAUGUGCAAAAGCUUUCACUCUUGUUCUCAAAUAAACUUUUGUGGGUUUUUUUUUUUUUUUUUUUUUGACUCUGGCUAUUUAGAUCUUUGACUGUGUCUUUGGUAGCAGAACUCCAGUGUCAGGAUUUUUAAGGAAAUAGUUUCUUAUAUUUAGAUUAUUCCUUAAAAAAAAAAAUCCUAGAAGCAUUCUGUAUUUUUUGUCUGUUGGUCUCCUUUGCUGGGAGGGAGGAGUGGGAUGCCUACAGUUUCCUUCCUUUUGGGGAAAGCACACAGCAGACCUUAAAAUAUUUUUGACUCUUGGGCUGGGUGCGGUGGCUCACACCUGUAAUCCCAGCACUUUGGGAGGCCGAAGCGGGCGGAUCACGAGGUCAGGAGAUCGAGACCAUCCUGGCGAACACAGUGAAACCCCAUCUCUACUAAAAAUGCAAAAAAUUAGCUGAGCGUGGUGGCGGGUGCCGGUAGUCCCAGCUACUCGGGAGGCUGAGGCAGGAGAAUGGCAUGAACCUGGGAGGCGGAGCUUACAGUGAGCUGAGAUAGUGCCACUGCACUCCAGCCUGGGCGACAGAGCGAGACUCCAUCUCAAAAAAAAAAAAUAUUUUUGACUCUUAACAGUUUGAGAUUGCUAGAGAUGGAAUAGUACUGCUCUGUUGCGCCACUGCACUCCAGCAGCCUGGGCGACAGAGCGAGACUCUGUCAAAAAAAAAAAAAAAAAGAAAGAAUAGUACUGCUCUUAAAAAGAUUAUUUACGUAUUUAUGAAACUGCAGUGGGAUGCCUAGUUUCCUUCCCUCUGAGGAAAGCACACAGCAGACCUUAAAAUAUUUUUGACUCUCAUAGUUUGACAUUGCUGGAGACAGAAUAGUACUGCUCUUAAAAAGAUUAUUUAAGUAUUUAUAUAUUUUAUUUAUUUAUUUAUUUAUUUAUUUAUUUAUUGACAGGAUCUUGCUCUGUCACCCAGGCUGGAGUGCAGCGGCCUGAUCAAAGCUCAGUGCAGCCUCGAACUUCUGGGGUCAAGCCAUCUUCCUGCUUCAGCCUUACUAGUACCUGGGACUAUAGGUGCAUGCCACCAUUCCCAGCUAAUUUAAAACAUUUUUAUUUUGUAAUGAUGGCUUCUUGCUAUGUUGCCCAGGCUGGCCUCAAGCAGUCCUCCUGGCCUCAAGCAGUCCUUCUGCCUUGGCCUCCCAAAGUGCUGGGAUUAUAGGUAUCAAGCAAUUCUCCUGCCUCAGCCUCCCCAGUAGCUGGGACUACAGGCAUGCACCACCAUGCCCAUCUAAGUUUUGUAUUUUUAGUGGAGAUGGGGUUUUGCCAUGAUGGGCAGGCUGGUCUCGAACUCCUGACCUCAGGUAAUCCACCCACCUCAGCCUCCCAAAGUGCUGGGAUUACAGGCAUGAGCCCUGGCACCUGGCAAUAUAGAGUAUUCUUGACAUCUUGACCUGUGCAGUAAAGAAGAUAAUUAAAAUGAGCGAUAAAUAGUCUAAGCUUGAAAGUUAAAGAGCCUAAGCUUGAAACACUCUGUGACUUAGUUUUUGCAUUUAUUCUGUCUUCUAUGCCCCCCAACCUUACUCCAAAUUAAUGAGGCAUUAUUUUAUUUAUUUAUUUUUUUGAGACAGAGUCUUGCUCUGUCGUCCAGGCUGGAGUGCAGUGGCACAAUCUUGGCUCACUGCUACCUCCGCCUCCAGGGUUCAAGCAAUUAUUCCGCCUCAGCCUCUCGAGUAGCUGAGACUACAGGCGCGUGCUACCACACCCAGCUAGUUUUUUUUUAUUUUCAAUAGAGACCGGGUUUCACCAUAUUGGCCAGGCUGGACUCAAACUCCUGACUUCGUAAUCCACCUGCCUCAGCCUCCCAAAGUGCUAGGAUUACAGGCGUGAGCCACUGCACCCGGCCUAAUGAGGCAUUAUUGCUUAAAAAUUCACAUCAAGCUGGGCAUGGUGAUAUGCACCUUUAGUCCCAGCUGCUUGGGAGGCUUAGAGGCAGCAGGAUCGCUUGAAGCCAGAAGUUCAAGGCUACAGUAUGCUAUGAUCAUUUCUGUGAAUGGCCACUGCACUUCAGCCUGAGUAACGUAGCAAGACGCUGUCUCCAACAGAAAAUUGACAUCUGAAGCCUUGACUACAGGGGGACUAUACUGGUUUAUGUGAAGUGUGGGGAGAGAGCAGGAUUGUGCUUCUUUGUACACAUUUGCUUCUCCCAGGAUAGUGUCAUAGUGCCUAGGAAGGUGAUGUGUGUGUCAGAUACAAUGAUAGUGAAAAGAAGGGAUUGGAAUUUUCAUACCUGUGUCAGUCUAAAUGAGCAUUACCUUGUCUGAAUUGUCUAAGUGGUAAGCUUCGUGAUUUGAAACAGUUUUCACUUUGAAAAACUGCUUCCGUGGAUUAAAAGUUGUCACCACUAAAGUGGGCUGUGGUGGAGUCGAUGCUGAUCCUCACUUAGGGCAGUGGCCUCCAAGGGGAAGAGGGCACACAGGAUGGCUGGGUGGGGGUGGGAAGAAAAGAUUAGGCCUUUGAUUUAUAUUCAUUUUGAGGCUCAGCCUUAUUUAGUUUCUCACUUUGGAUGUAUUUUAUAUAUAUACAUCAAAUAUACAUCAAUAUUAGUUCAUUAGUACAUGUAGGUCAUUAAUUUAUAAAUAAAAGGUUGAACCACAA